AUAACAAUUUCUUCAGUUUUUUGUUUCGAAAAGAGACAAAGAUAGAAGGUAAGGGAUAGAAAUAGAAGAUGGAAGAAGACAGUUUGGUAAUCACAACAGAUAUUAUAAUAAAUCAUAUCUUUACAGAGGCAGAUACAUUGUAAAACGAACAAGGAUACUUUCACGAAAUAUACACGCAGUCGUACAUUGAUCCAGGAAUCGAUCGGCGACAC